rnacentral:lncRNA from 1 species
UGCUAUAUCGACAUACCGUUCGAUUGUGGUAGUGUGCACAUUAGGUUAAUUGGUGUGCGUAUACACGUAAUAUCAAGCGUCCACGCUGAACGAUGAAACUAGAAGACACCACCAGUAACACGAAACAAUGUCUUGCUCUGGAGCAGAGAACCUGACCCAGACCUUCAUUGCGACUCAGGGAGAGACUAUGCUGUAGAGACGAAGCCAAUCGAAGAGGAGGUACCGGAGAAGGGAACCAUCAGCCAUAGACAACAAAGGAUGACUGCUAAACCAUUAC